rnacentral:lncRNA from 1 species
GAUGGGGAAUAGACUACAGAGGCCAAAGCUUGGAUUUAGAAACAAGAACUAGGUGAUUUGGUUGAGAAUUUAGAGAGUUAUGGGAUUUUUGGUGUGGGUGAGUUUGAGAGAGUAUGAGUGUUUGGGAGGGGAGGGAGGUUGAGGAUGAUGAAAAUCGAGGGUUGUGGGCUAGGUUUAGGGUCAUCCGGUUCGGUUUAGGUGGGAAGGGACCGGUCCAAUUAAAUUGAAACCAGGAUUAGAUCGAAAAUCACUUACCUGAACCGGUCGUGGAGCAACCUC